UGGGAAAUAUUGCACAAUGGGCGCAAGCCUGAUGCAGCCAUGCCGCGUGUGUGAAGAAGGCCUUCGGGUUGUAAAGCACUUUCAGCGAGGAGGAAGGUGGUGAGCUUAAUACGCUCAUCAAUUGACGUUACUCGCAGAAGAAGCACCGGCUAACUCCGUGCCAGCAGCCGCGGUAAUACGGAGGGUGCAAGCGUUAAUCGGAAUUACUGGGCGUAAAGCGCACGCAGGCGGUUUGUUAAGUCAGAUGUGAAAUCCCCGGGCUCAACCUGGGAACUGCAUUUGAAACUGGCAAGCUAGAGUCUCGUAGAGGGGGGUAGAAUUCCAGGUGUAGCGGUGAAAUGCGUAGAGAUCUGGAGGAAUACCGGUGGCGAAGGCGGCCCCCUGGACGAAGACUGACGCUCAGGUGCGAAAAGCGUGGGGAGCAAAACAGGAUUAGAUACCCUGGUAGUCCACGCUGUAAAACGAUGUCGAUUUUGGAGGUUGUGCCCUUGAGGCGUGGCUUCCGGAGCUAACGCGUUAAAUCGACCGCCU
rnacentral:rRNA from 1 species